AUGUUCCAGCCAUCCUUCACACACACCUUAAGUGAAAUUAAUGAGAUCACUCUAUGGUUACGCUUUGUGUUUUAUUUUCACUUUCUAGGUCUGUAUGAGCUGUUGGCUGUUGUGCCAGGCCGGCUGGGGCCACGUGUGGACAGCCAGGAAGACCUGACCUUCCUCUGGGAUAUGUUUGGUGAGAAAAGCCUGCAUUCACUGGUAAAGAUCUUCACAAUAUCCUGGGUAGCCUUAUGUUGUGAGGUGGAAGUCUCUACUCUUCUGUGGGUAAGUUUAUGAAAAGACUGAAGUUCGUUUGUCCUUUAGCAGAACUGACUUGUUGGGUUCCUUGGGCCUGGAUGUUUUCUUUUUGAUAAGGAUAUUGGUAACUAUUUUAAAGAUGACAAGAACGUUUAGGCUUUCUAUUUCUUCUUGAUUAGUUUUAAUGAUUCAUAUUUUUCUAAGAUUUGGUCCAUUUCAACUACAUUGUCAAAUUUCUGAAAAGGUUGCUUAUAAUAUUUCACAUGUGCACUUUCUAUGCUAAUUGUUUUUCUUCUUGGUCCUGAUAUUGGUACUUACUGCCCUUUCUUCUCUUUCCUCAAUAUUGCCAGAGUUUUGGCAUUAGUCUUUUUAGAUAUAAACCUUUGGCCUUAUUAAUUUUCCUCAUUGUAUAUUAGUUUUUAUUUCAUUGACUUUUUUUAAAAAAUUCUUUUUCUAGUUAUGAACGUUUGUUCAUAAAUUUUCAACCUUCUUCUUUUCCUAACGUUAGCAUUUAAGGCCAUUUCUCCCAAGGUACUGGUUUUCUUAACUUAGAAUCAUUUUGUAGUUGCUUACUUAGACUUUUCUUGAAUUUACAAAUAAGGAUUUUUUUAAUUUAUCUUGUUCCUGAUUUCUACCUUAAUUGCUUUGAGGUCAGAAAACCUAAUUUGCAUUAUUUCAGUCCUUUGAAAUGUGUUUACACUUUAUGGCCAGCUACAUAUUCAAUAUCUGUAAUGUAUCCUGUCUGUGUCUAAAAAGAAGGUAUAUUCUGCAGUCAUUAAGUAUAGUUUUUUGUAUAUGUCUGUAGAUCAAGUUUGUAAACCUAUUCAAAUAUUCUGUGUUUUCACUGAUUUUUGUUCGUUUAUUCUCUGUUACCAAGAGAAGUAUGGUAAAAAAGUUUCCCAUUAUGACCAUGGUUUUCUUCUUGCAGUUCUGUUCAGUUUUUUUUGUGUUUUUUUUUAAAUUUAAUUUAUUUAUCGGACACUGAAGAAGCAGGAGGAGUGACAGGCAGAGAGAGAGAGAGGGAGAAGCAGGCUCCCCCCUGGAGCAAGGACCCUGAUGUGGGCCUUGAUUCCAGGACCCUGGAAUCUUGACGGGAGUUGAAGGCAGGUGCUUAACCGACUGAGCCACCCAGGCUCCCUCUGUUCAUUUUUUGUUGUAUAUAUUUAAAUUUGUUAUUAAAUAUAAAUUUGUUAUUUUGCUGGUGAAUUACUACACUUUAUACUUUUUAAUAGAGUUUAUUUUAAAGUAGAUACGUUUUUGUUGCCAUUUGCAGGAUAUCUUUUCCUAUCCUUUUAUUGUCAACUCUUCCAUAUUCCUGCUUUAUUACAGCUUUUGUGAAUUACAGUUGGAGCUUUCUGAGGUAACAAGUCAGAAGUCUUUACUUUCAGCUAGAAUAUCUUCACUACAGUUCAUUAUGAUGUAUGAUCUUUAUAAUUUAAAAUCUGACGUAUUUUGUGUUUUCUUGUCCUGAUUUUUCUUUGUUUCUUUUGGAUUGGUUAGGGUUUUCCUUGCAUACAGUUGAGAAGUUAAAACAUUCUCUUUCUGUUAUUUGAGUGGCUACCUUAGAAAUUAUGACAUUAAUCCUUUAUUAUAAAAUCCUAUCUUAAUCUGUCUAUUGUCAUCUGGAAAAGAUCCAGAAAUCUUAGCGCACUUUUGCCCCAUAUACUUUCCUGCCAACUUCAGUGCUAUUGUGUCCUGUAUUUUAAUUCUCUCUAGAAAACAAACAGAAAAACAAAAACCCCUCACAACCUUGAAGACCUCCUUAUUUUGCUUUACAUCAACGUCAUUAUUCAUUUAGUAUAACCACCAUUUUGUUUGUUCUAGUCCCAAUCUUACAGCUCAGCCUUGUCAUCCAGGCUGAUUUUUCACCUGUUUAAUGUUAAAAAGCUCUAGAAUCUCCUGUAUUGAGGGUUUGUGGCUAUCAAACUAUGUCUUUCAGUGAAUCAGUACAUGUUUUUAUUUCCUUCCAUUUUUUUUUCGUUUUAUUAAAUUAUAAUCGAUAUAUGACACACUAGUUUCAGGCGUGCAACAUAAAAUUUG
rnacentral:lncRNA from 1 species